rnacentral:rRNA from 1 species
AGCAAACGCUGGCGGCAGGCUUAACACAUGCAAGUCGAACGGGCAUCCCUGAGGUGUCUGCGGCAGACGGGUGAGUAACGCGUGGGAACGUGGCCUUCAGCUCGGAAUAACUCUGGGAAACUUGAGCUAAAACCGGAUAUAUGCGAGAACAGAAAGGUUUAUCUGCCAUAGGAUCGGGGAGCGUCUGAUUAGCUAGUUGGUGAGGUGAUGGCUCACCAAGGCCACGAUCGGUAGCUGGUCUGAGAGGAUGAUCAGCCACACUGGGACUGAGACACGGCCCAGAAUCCUACGGGAGGCAGCAGUGGGGAAUAUUGGACAAUGGGGGCAACCCUGAUCCAGCCAUGCCGCGUGAGUGAUGACGGCCUUAGGGUUGUAAAGCUCUUUUAUCCGGGACGAUAAUGACGGUACCGGAGGAAUAAGCCCCGGCUAACUUCGUG